CCCCGCACGCCCGUCAGCCGGCCCGGCCCCGCCCAGCCAGCCGGCGGCUCGCCAACCAUUGGCUGCGGCAGCCUUGCGUCACCUCCCCUUGCGGGCCCCGCCCUCCCGCCUGGUUUCUAAUGAAGAGCUCGUCAAUUACGGCUCGGCCCCGCCUCCCGCCCGCCCGCCCCGGGCGCCUGGCCGGCCUUCCAUUGGCCCGCUGAAACCUGCGCACAGCCCGUCUGCUCCCACCCCUCGCCCAGCGGCUGCUCAACCGCGGGGCCGGAUGCCCUAUGAGCGGCAGAGAGGCUCCACCCCUGCCCGCCUCCCCGCACGCGUCCUGGACCUCAUUGGCUGCUGGAGCUGCCAAUUCUAGAGGGAGUAUGACAACUUUUCAACUUGAGUGCACACACUGUCCCCGGAAUCCCGCGUUCCAGGGAGGAAGCGCCUUUGACAGCGCGCGCCGGUUCGUGGGGCCCGACGGCGUGGGCCUGUGGUUGCGGACCUGGCGGAGAUGCGCGUUCGCUUCGAUUGUAGGCCAUUCCUUUUAGGAGCUGAGAAAGGAUCCGUUUUUACAGCAUUCUCGACCUGUGAUUCUUGGUGGGGGAAACUAGUUAUGUGGAUAAAAAUACAGUUAGCAAAAUAAAAAUGCCAAUUUUACAUUUCCUUAAAUAUCUCAUUAAUAAUUAGAAAACUUUGGUCAUUGCAAGAAAUGCUUAGGCUAAACUUAGAAGGAAAGGAAUGGUGAAUUAGAGAACUUUAAAA
rnacentral:lncRNA from 1 species